rnacentral:tRNA from 1 species
GGGGAUGUAGCUCAGCUGGUUUAGAGUGCCUGCCUGUCACGCAGGAGGUCGCGGGUUCGAGCCCCGUCAUUCCCGCCA